UUUCCGUAGGUGAACCUGCGGAAGGAUCAUUGUCGAAACCUGCAAAAGCAGACCGUGAACUCGUUCAAUUUCUUUGGGACCGCGGCGAGGGGGUAACCCCGCGCCGUGUUCCCUCCCCGCACGCGUGCACUUUGCGGGCUAACGAACCCCGGCGCGGCAAGCGCCAAGGAAAACCCAAGGAAGCGUCCGCCCCCCAUCCCCCGUUUGCGGUGAGCGGUGGGGGAUGUCUCUCAAUGUCAUUACGACUCUCGGCAACGGAUAUCUCGGCUCUCGCAUCGAUGAAGAACGUAGCGAAAUGCGAUACUUGGUGUGAAUUGCAGAAUCCCGUGAACCAUCGAGUCUUUGAACGCAAGUUGCGCCCGAAGCCUCCCGGCUAAGGGCACGUCUGCCUGGGCGUCACGCAUCGCGUCGCCUCCCUACCUUCUCCGGAGAAUGGCCUCCCGUGCGCCUUGUCGUGCGGCCGGCCUAAAUGAGAUCCCGCGGCGACUCACGUCACGACCAGUGGUGGUUGAAUGCUCAACUCGCGUGCUGUCGUGACGGUGUUGUCGCGUUGGACAUCAUAGUAGACCCAAUGGCACGAGCUGAUCGUGCUUUCGACCGCGACCCCAGGUCAGGCGGGAUUACCCGCUGAGUUUAA
rnacentral:rRNA from 1 species